AGUGAACGCUGGCGGUAGGCCUAACACAUGCAAGUCGAACGGCAGCACAGUAAGAGCUUGCUCUUACGGGUGGCGAGUGGCGGACGGGUGAGGAAUACAUCGGAAUCUACUUUUUCGUGGGGGAUAACGUAGGGAAACUUACGCUAAUACCGCAUACGACCUACGGGUGGAAGCAGGGGAUCUUCGGAUCUUGCGCGAUUGAAUGAGCCGAUGUCGGAUUAGCUAGUUGGCGGGGUAAAGGCCCACCAAGGCGACGAUCCGUAGCUGGUCUGAGAGGAUGAUCAGCCACACUGGAACUGAGACACGGUCCAGACUCCUACGGGAGGGAGCAGUGGGGAAUAUUGGACAAUGGGCGCAAGCCUGGUCCAGCCAUACCGCGUGGGUGAAGAAGGCCUUCGGGUUGUAAAGCCCUUUUGUUGGGAAAGAAAAGCAGCAGGUUAAUACCCCGCUGUUCUGACGGUACCCAAAGAAUAAGCACCGGCUAACUUCGUG
rnacentral:rRNA from 1 species